rnacentral:snRNA from 1 species
GGAUGUGAGGGCGAUCUGGCCGCAACAUGUGUCACCCCAUUGAUCACCAGGGUUAAUUCAGCCAAUCUGGCUGGCUAGGCAGGUGUCCCUUCCUCCCUCAUGGCCACAUAGGCUUCCCUCCCGAAGCUUCGUGCUGGGUCAAAGAGGACGACCACUCCGAUAGAGGAGGAAUGUUCCUCAGCAAGGGUAUACGAGUAGCUGCGCUCCCUGCUAGAACCUCCAAACAAGCUCUCAAAACCCACUAAUUUAUCACAAAGUGCCAACACUGCAAUUAAACCUGAACACUAUUUUAGUUU